AGCGGGUCCAACGUAGGAGGACGUCAUCAUCCAGAUCCCGACUAAGCAUAGGGCCACAAACACAACAACAGUCACUGUCGAACAGUAGUUUGAGGAGGGCCUCCUGUUAUCUAACCUAGUGUACCUUACUUGUGCCAUGAUUCCAAUAACAAUACGUGUACACACGCCUACACAGAUAGAGAGAAACAAGGAAGAUAAAUGUUAGGCAAGCAAUCAAAAUCAUAUCCUGAGAGAUAUCAAGACAAGGCAACCAGAUCUCCGUAGAAUAAUCAUUGUUCUACAUUAUCGAGAUCAUCACUAAGCAAAUGCAAAAAAAAAAAAAAAAAAAAUCACAGU